rnacentral:tRNA from 1 species
GAGGGGAUAGCUCAGUGGUAGAGUGCCUGCCUAGCAUGCACAAGGUCCUGGGUUCAAUCCCUAGUACCCUAC